CUCCUACGGGAGGCAGCAGUGAGGAAUAUUGGUCAAUGGGCGAGAGCCUGAACCAGCCAAGUAGCGUGCAGGAAGACGGCCCUAUGGGUUGUAAACUGCUUUUAUAAGGGAAUAAAGUGAGUCUCG
rnacentral:rRNA from 1 species